rnacentral:rRNA from 1 species
AUGCCGAGGCCGAUGCCCCCAAGGCCGCUGCCGCAGCGCGAGGACACGGGGUGGCCGCAGAGGCCCGAGUUCCCGGAGAAGGAGUCCUUGGAGAAGGCAGAACCGAGCUGGGACGGGAUCUGGCCCUCGAGGCGGUUCCCGGAGAGGUCGAGCGCCUUGAGGCGGUCGAGGCGCGCGAGGGAGGCGGGGAUCUGGCCGGAGAAGGCGUUGUCGCUGAGCUUGAGCGAGUUGAGGAAGCGGCAGUUGGCGAGCUCGGAGGGGAGCGGGCCGGUGAGGCGGUUGCCGGAGAGGUCGAGGUUGACGACGAAGGGGAUCCAGUCGCAGAGCGCGGGGGGUAUCUGGCCCUCGAGCGCGUUGGAGGAGAGGUCGAGCGUGUUGGCGGAGCGGCAGUACUGGAGCGCGGGGGGGAUUUUGCCCUGGAGGCCGAAGCCGGAGAGGGAGACGGCGAGGAUGCGCGACUCCUGCGGGUUCUAGCAGGAGAUGCCGGAGAAGUCGCAGACGGCGCCCGCCGAGGUGUUGCUGGUCCAGGAGGUGAGGCGGCCCUCGGGGUCCCUGAGGUCGGCCUUGACGCCCUUGAGGCACCGCGCGUCGUCCUCCUGCGGCUCCGCCGCCGACCCCGGCGCCGGCUGCGGCGCGGCGGGCGGGAGGGUGAGGGCUAGGGCCAGGGCUAGCAGAAGGAGGUGCGGGGGGUUUCUGCAAAAAAAAAAUGCCACGUCAGCAGCUGACAGGCGUGCCCUGCCGGUCAGAUACACUGUCAAUACGCGUUUAUACGCGAUUUAG